ensembl:lncRNA
CACUGGCCAACCCCAAGGGCACUGGUCUGGGGAUGGACACGCGCGACUUCAGGGGCCUGCAUGGCUGAGGGUCUCUCGUCCACAGUUCUGAACACAGCACAGGGAAAGGGCUGUAUCGUCCCAUUCACACCAAGGGUCCACUCGUGCCUGGAGACGCGUUGGAGGCCCGGCCUGUUGGGAAACGGCUUGGUGUGUGAGACUCAUGGAGAGGACCAGGAACAGGGCCCUGCAUGCCCACCUCGGCCCCCAGGGCAGACAUACUCGUGCGGCCUGUGCCCCUGACCUGGGGCAGGAGGAGAGACACGGGAGGGUCCCGGACACGAGCGCGGGGCCCCGGAGCGGCUGACGCUCUGCUUGCCACACGCCUCCACCUCCCAAUUCCUCCGCCCUUUGCCCUUCACCCCCUUCCCCCCAUCCUUCUUCCUCCCGCAGCUGCGACACUGCCCCCGCCAGCCCCUCACCCCCUCCCUUUCUCCUGCCUUCUCCCCAUUUCCUGAUCCAGAGCACCGUCCAUCCUCCUCAGGCUCACUCCGUCCUCCCCACUCCCUCCUCCCCCCAGCGCUCCUACUUCCUGCUGCCCCCUACUCCGUCAUCCCGCAUCACCCCACACCCCUCUUCCUGCGGUAUCCACCCCCUCCGGCUCCAACUGCCCGCCUGCCUCCUCUCCCUCCAGCAUCCUCUCUCCUGCCUCCUCUGGGCCAGGAGUCUAAGCUCUGACCUUGGGCUCCUUUCAAGGACAUGGGCACCUCUGGCAGCAGCCCUCCCCCCAUGGACUGCUGAGGGGGCUGGAUGCGCCUGGCCCAUGGUUGGCGCUAGGGGUCAGUGUCGGCUGGAGCCUAGGGGCGUGAAGUUACCUCCCGUGGCCUCUGCCCCAGCGUGGCCGCAAGGCUCGAGGGCGGCGAUGGUCCUCACCUUUCUGACCUCGAGCUGGUGCGCCACGGUUACCGAGUAUGGCCACUGCGUCUCACAGCAUCACUGGGUGCCCUUUCCACUUAGCGGUCUCCAAAAUCUUCCUCAUACCCUCCCAGGCUGUCUUUGUUAAAGGCUGUGUCAUGUGCAUUCAGUGGGUCCGUCAUGAUCGCUAGGGCUCCUUAGUGACAGGCACCCCUGUUCUGGUGUGACGAUGCAUAUGGGGGCACGGGGGCUCCAAGCACUUACUCCUCCCGCCUCGGAGGAUGCGGUCUGCCUCCUCUGUGCUCUGAGCUUCAGCAGCGUGUUUGUGGUACCCAGAGACCCCCGGCCAGAACCCUCCAUGGUUCCUUGACCCGCAGACCUUCCCUUGUGGUGAGAAGUGCACGGUGACUCUGCUCUGCUCAAUCUGCGCGUCUCUUAGUGAGAUGAACAAGCGUAUUCUAUCAGCCCCCUUUUUAUUGUGAACUACCUGUUCGUGUCAUUUCCCAUCCUUUUGCCCUCUAAGAAAUUGAUCCGUAGGAACUCCUCACCCAUUAAGGACAUUAGAACUGGAAAUAUCUUCCCACAGUUUCAUAUCUUCUUCUAAGUUUGAUUUGGGUUUUCCUCCCCAAGCAAAUACUUGAUUCUCGUGUGGUUGAAUCUGUUGUAAGCAGCAUGGAGG